GGGGGAGGUAAACACCACAGAGGAGCUGCCGGGUUAGGUGGGGGUGUGCGGGGCGCGUGCAUGCUAUCUGGAUCCUGUGCUUGUCCGUGUGUCUUCAUGAAGAGCAUGGCGUACGAUGAUGCAGCAGGCCAUGAUUUUUCCUUUUUCUCAUCUCUCUUCUUCUUCUCCUCUCUUCUCCUUCGUCCUCCCUCUCCUCUCUCCUUCCUCCCUCGCCUGUGUGCCACAGAGCUGGGGGCGUCGUUGCCAGGAGCGACGGCGACGACAUCAUGGAUUAUUUACAGACUGCCUUGAAUUGAGGACCACCGCCGGCGGCACUGGGGGGGUCAGGCAGACAGACGGCUCUCUGUGCAGACCGCAGGCAGACAGGCAGACACAUCUGGGCUGAAUCCGCAGCAGAGCUUCAGAGGAGGAGAAAGGCCCAGAGCAGGAGGACCACCACCACAGGCACCAGACAGGGCAGCAGCAGAGCCCUGGAUGUAACCUGACCCCUGGGAGGCUCCGGGCCCUGGUCUACCCGCUGGUGGGGAAGGAAAGGAGGAAGAAAG
ensembl:lncRNA